AACGAACGCUGGCGGCAUGCCUAACACAUGCAAGUCGAACGAGACCUUCGGGUCUAGGGGCGCACGGGUGCGUAACGCGUGGGAAUCUGCCCUUGGGUUCGGAAUAACAGUUGGAAACGACUGCUAAUACCGGAUGAUGACGUAAGUCCAAGGAUUUAUGGCCCAAGGAUGGGCCCGCGUAGGUUUGGCUAGUUGGUGAGGUAAAGGCUGACAAAGGCGACGAUCCUUAGCUGGUCGGGGAGAAUGAUCAGCAAGACUGGGACUGGGACACGGCCCAGACGCGAGGGAAGGCAGCAGUGGGGAAUAUUGGACAAUGGGGGAAAGCCUGAUACAGCCAUGCCGGGUAAGUGAUGAAGGCCGUAGGGUAGUAAAGCUCUUUUACCCGGGAUGAUAAUGACGGUACCGGGAGAAUAAGCUCCGGCUAACUACGUG
rnacentral:rRNA from 1 species